rnacentral:misc_RNA from 1 species
GAUGAAGAACGUAGUGAAAUGCGAUAAGUAAUGUGAAUUGCAGAAUUCAGUGAAUCAUCAAAUCUUUGAACGCAUCUUGCGCUCCUUGGUAUUCCGAGGAGCAUGCCUGUUUGAGUGUCAUUCAACUUGUCAACCACUUUGGAAGUUGUUUUUCAAUGUGGCUUGGAUGUGGGGGAUUUGCAGGCUUUUCUUCUGUCUGCUCUCCUGAAAUGCAUUAGUGGUGUCUUAAAGGGUUCACAACCACAGGUGUGAUAAAUUAUCUAUGCCUUUGGUAUGAACAGAACUGUGCUGCUUCUAAAUGAAAUGAGCCCUUGCAGGCUCUUUCUUUUGAUGAAUUUGACCUCAAAUCAGGUAGGACUACCCGCUGAACUUAAGCAUAUCAAUAAGCGGAGGA